UUGGAGGGCAAGUCUGGUGCCAGCAGCCGCGGUAAUUCCAGCUCCAAUAGCGUAUAUUAAAGUUGUUGCAGUUAAAAAGCUCGUAGUUGAAUUUCGAGACCGGUUUAUUGGUCGUGCUUUUGUACGUACUGGUAUUAUUGGUUUCUCCUUUCUGACGAAUCUUAAUGCCAUUAAUUUGGUGUUUUGGGGAAUCAGGACUGUUACUUUGAAAAAAUUAGAGUGUUUAAAGCAGGCUCACGCUUGAAUACAUUAGCAUGGAAUAACGGAAUAGGACGUUUGAUUCUAUUUUGUUGGUUUCUAGGAUCGACGUAAUGAUUAAUAGGGAUAGUUGGGGGCAUUAGUAUUCAAUUGUCAGAGGUGAAAUUCUUGGAUUUAUUGAAGACUAACUACUGCGAAAGCAUUUGCCAAGGAUGUUUUCAUUAAUCAGGAACGAAAGUUAGGGGAUCGAAGACGAUCAGAUACCGUCGUAGUCUUAACCAUAAACUAUGCCGACUAGGGAUCGGAUGAUGUUAAUUUUUUAAUGACUCAUUCGGCGCCUUACGGGAAAC
rnacentral:rRNA from 1 species